rfam:TPA: Bos taurus chromosome 15, whole genome shotgun sequence.
UGGCUCAGAGGUUAAAGCAUCUGCCUGCAAUGCGGGAGACCCGGGUUCGAUCCCUGG